rnacentral:rRNA from 1 species
AUUGAACGCUGGCGGCAGGCCUAACACAUGCAAGUCGAGCGAGCGGCGGACGGGUGAGUAAUGUCUGGGAAACUGCCUGAUGGAGGGGGAUAACUACUGGAAACGGUAGCUAAUACCGCAUACCAUCAGAUGUGCCCAGAUGGGAUAAGCUAGUAGGUGGGGUAACGGCUCACCUAGGCGACGAUCCCUAGCUGGUCGGAGAGGAUGACCAGCCACACUGGAACUUGGACACGGUACAGACUCCUACGGGAGGAAGCAGUGGGGAAUAUUGCACAAUGGGCGCAAGCCGGAUGCAGCCAGGCCGCGUGUGUGAAGCAGGCCUUCGGGUUGUAAAGCACUUUCAUCGGGGAGGCGUUACCCGCAGAAGAAGCACCGGCUAACUCCGUGCCAGCAGCCGCGGUAAUAC